UACGUAGGGGGCUAGCGUUGUCCGGAAUCAUUGGGCGUAAAGAGCGUGUAGGCGGUCCGGUAAGUCCGUUGUGAAAGUCAGGGGCUCAACCCUUGAAUGCCGGCGGAUACUGUCGGGCUCGAGUCCGGAAGAGGCGAGUGGAAUUCCUGGUGUAGCGGUGAAAUGCGCAGAUAUCAGGAGGAACACCAAUGGCGAAGGCAGCUCGCUGGGACGUGACUGACGCUGAGACGCGAAAGCGUGGGGAGCAAACAGG
rnacentral:rRNA from 1 species